rnacentral:tRNA from 1 species
CAAGAUGUAGUAUAAUAAAUACUUUUCACUUACACUGAGAAAAUGGCCAGUGCCCGUCUUGC